UACGAAGGGACCUAGCGUAGUUCGGAAUUACUGGGCUUAAAGAGUUCGUAGGUGGUUGAAAAAGUUGGUGGUGAAAUCCCAGAGCUUAACUCUGGAACUGCCAUCAAAACUUUUCAGCUAGAGUUUGAUAGAGGAAAGCAGAAUUUCUAGUGUAGAGGUGAAAUUCGUAGAUAUUAGAAAGAAUACCAAUUGCGAAGGCAGCUUUCUGGAUCAUUACUGACACCGAGGAACGAAAGCAUGGGUAGCGAAGAGG
rnacentral:misc_RNA from 1 species